AUAAAAUCUUGGCAAAACUAGAGAAAUCUAGCGACGCAAAGCUAUAGGGCCUGAAAAUGGUAGCCAGUUGCACUU
rnacentral:ncRNA from 1 species